UGGGGAAUUUUGGACAAUGGGCGAAAGCCUGAUCCAGCCAUGCCGCGUGAGUGAAGAAGGCCUUCGGGUUGUAAAGCUCUUUUAGUCGGAAAGAAAGAGUUGCAAUGAAUAAUUGUGAUUUAUGACGGUACCGACAGAAAAAGCACCGGCUAACUACGUGCCAGCAGCCGCGGUAAUACGUAGGGUGCGAGCGUUAAUCGGAAUUACUGGGCGUAAAGGGUGCGCAGGCGGUCUUACAAGUCAGAUGUGAAAGCCCCGGGCUUAACCUGGGAAUUGCGUUUGAAACUACAAGACUAGAGUGCAGCAGAGGGGAGUGGAAUUCCAUGUGUAGCAGUGAAAUGCGUAGAGAUGUGGAAGAACACCGAUGGCGAAGGCAGCUCCCUGGGUUGACACUGACGCUCCUGCACGAAAGCGUGGGGAGCAAACA
rnacentral:rRNA from 1 species